UCGUUGAGUUCGGAUUCCUUGUGCUACUGUAACUGUCAUUACUGCUGUGGGAACCAACGUUUCUGUUUGGCUGCUGUUGAAGGUCUUCCACCAUCACUGGAGCUGCCCAGAAUCAUCGUGGAAGCUGCCAAGAUAUAUGUCUGAUUUAGAGAUAUUUUGGAGCUAACUAAGGCUUUUAACAUGAAAGAGACUGAGGCAAAGGCAUAUAUAUAUUUAAAAUCCAGACUGAGGCAAAGGCAAAGGCUUUAUGAUUUUGCACUUACAGACUAUGUUUGUUCAAGCUUAGUAUUAUCUGUUUUGAAGCAUGAAAACGAAGCAUUAUCAAAUGCAGAAAAGCGAGCAUCUGAUGAGGUUCAUAGUUUAUCUGAAAGGGUGCAGCGCCUGCAGG